GUCCCUUUAGGGGACACUCAAUAAAAUUGAAACAAAACAAUAUAGAGAAGAUUAGCAUGAUCCUUGCACAAAGUACUCAAAAAAAAAAAAAAGUUGGCUUCAGAUCAU